rnacentral:rRNA from 1 species
GAUGAACGCUAGCGGCAGGCCUAAUACAUGCAAGUCGAGGGGCAGCGCGGUAGCAAUACUGGCGGCGACCGGCGCACGGGUGCGUAACACGUAUGCAACCUACCUUCAACUGGAGGAUAGCCCGGGGAAACUCGGAUUAAUACUCCAUAACACAGGGAUCCCGCAUGGGAAUAUUGUUAAAGCUACGGCGGUUGAAGAUGGGCAUGCGUUCGAUUAGCUAGUUGGUGUAGGUAACGGCUCACCAAGGCUACGAUCGAUAGGGGGUCUGAGAAGAUGAUCCCCCACACUGGUACUGAGAUACGGACCAGACUCCUACGGGAGCAGCAGUAGGGAAUAUUGGUCAAUGGGCACAAGCCUGAACCAGCCAUGCCGCGUGCAGGAAGAAGGCCCUCUGGGUUGUAAACUGCUUUUAUCUGGGACGAAAAAAGGCGAAUUCUUCGUCACUUGACGGUACCAGAUGAAUAAGCACCGGCUAACUCCGUGCCAGCAGCCGCGGUAAU